UCUGUAAAGUCAUAAAUUCUCCGUGAAACGUCGGCGGGCGUUUGAUGGGACUUUUUUCGAACUACCCACCUGAGGUAGACCGCCA
rnacentral:sRNA from 1 species